rnacentral:lncRNA from 10 species
ACACGGGAAGCGCUCCGCGGCGCCCGCCCUCGUCUGGCGCAGAGACCUGGCUGGAAAGACACAGCGUGGCUUCGAUUCCGGCGCCUGCGUGUCACCAGCCCAGGGUGGCCGUGGAAGCUGGACCCGAGCCGCAGGCCCCCCAGGCUGGGCCUGGGAGGAAAGCGGUUUGAAAAAGAUCGGAACUGAGGAACUCUCUUAGAGCGGGGGACUCCCUGCUCCUACAGCCUUAACCAAUGCCCAGCGCUUGGAAAGUGGAGGACUCGGGGAUUCGGGAGCGUUUCAGGCCUGGGGAAAUGGAAGGGUCGGGGACCUAGGUGAAAGGUUAUUUGCCA